rnacentral:rRNA from 1 species
CAUCGCCCCUUGAAAUAAUCUAAAUAAGGGGUACUGCCUGCCCAGUGAUAAAAAUUAAACGGCCGCGGUAUUUUGACCGUGCAAAGGUAGCAUAAUAGUUUGUCCUUUAAUUGAGGACUAGAAUGAAUGGCAACACGAAAGCUUAACUGUCUCCCAACUAAAAAAAGAAAUUUUUCUCUUUGUGAAGAAACAAAGAUAAAAACGUAAGACGAGAAGACCCUGUCGAGCUUAAGAAAAUUUUUAUAAGAUAAACAUAGAUAAUUUAUUCAUCUACUAACAACUAAAUAAAAAUAUCUUUGGUUGGGGCAACCACGAAGAAAAAAUAACCUUCGUUUACAAAAAAAAAUUUACAAAUUUAAAAUUUUUUCAAAAUAAAUUAGAUCCAGAAAAUACUGAUUAAAGAAAAAAGUUACCGCAGGGAUAACAGCGUUAUUUUCUCAAAGAGUCCCUAUUAACGAGAAAGUUUGCGACCUCGAUGUUGGAUCGGGGCAUCCCAGAGGUGCAGAAGCCUCUAAAGGUAGGUCUGUUCGACCUUUAUAGCCCUACGUGA